AUAACAGAUAGAGGCGCGCUGUUUAUGAGUACUGUAUGGGAGAUGGGAGAAGUCGAUGAACUGCAGAAAAGGAAACAGCGCCGAAGGGCCGGUAUUCUCCGUACCGGUGACCUGGUCAGUAUGUGAACAACAUGCUGACUGUCAUCAGCGAUGAUGGAGAGCUAUCUGGUUU
rnacentral:ncRNA from 2 species